rnacentral:lncRNA from 1 species
UUUUCUCGAAAUAUAUUUUUGAAUAUUAUGGUAUGAAUUUGAUAUAAUGUUAUAAUUGUGAGUAAUAUUUAUAAAUUUUACAAAGUAAGCAAGUGGUUAUAUAAUAUUCGAUUGGUCGGGGAAUAUUCGUUUUAACAUGGAAUAUUCGUACGACGGCACAAUCAUUAGUGGAUCCCACAACGGAAGUAUUGUCGUAGUUAGAAAACGACAGAAUUAUCAUUUUAUAAAAAUAACGGCGAAAGUGUUACCGUUAAAACUGUUGAACUACCCGGUAGUACAAGUACAGUAAUACGCGUUGUGAGACCCCAAAUUUUAUGAAUAAAGAUUUAAAUUUUUCAAAAUAUUUUUUAUGAAUAUUAUGGUGUAGAUUUGAUAUAAUGUUAUAGUUGUGGGUAAUAUUUAUAAAUUUUGUAAAGUAUGCAAGUUGUUAUAUAAUAGUCGAUUGGUCGGGGAAUAUUUUUUUUGUCGGAGAAUAUUCGUACGACGGCACAAUCAUUGAUGGACCCCACAACAGAAGUAUUGUCG